rnacentral:rRNA from 1 species
AUGAACGCUGGCGGCGUGCCUAAUACAUGCAAGUCGAGCGAACAGACGAGGAGCUUGCUCCUCUGACGUUAGCGGCGGACGGGUGAGUAACACGUGGAUAACCUAGCUAUAAGACUGGGAUAACUUCGGGAAACCGGAGCUAAUACCGGAUAAUAUAUUGAACCGCAUGGUUCAAUAGUGAAAGACGGUUUUGCUGUCACUUAUAGAUGGAUCCGCGCCGCAUUAGCUAGUUGGUAAGGUAACGGCUUACCAAGGCAACGAUGCGUAGCCGACCUGAGAGGGUGAUCGGCCACACUGGAACUGAGACACGGUCCAGACUCCUACGGGAGGCAGCAGUAGGGAAUCUUCCGCAAUGGGCGAAAGCCUGACGGAGCAACGCCGCGUGAGUGAUGAAGGUCUUCGGAUCGUAAAACUCUGUUAUUAGGGAAGAACAAAUGUGUAAGUAACUAUGCACGUCUUGACGGUACCUAAUCAGAAAGCCACGGCUAACUACGUG